AUACGGAGGAUCCGAGCGUUAUCCGGAUUUAUUGGGUUUAAAGGGUGCGCAGGCGGCCAUUUAAGUCAGCGGUUAAAUCGUGGGGCUCAACCCCAUUCUGCCGUUGAUACUGGGUGGCUUGAUUGCGGUCGAGGUUGGCGGAAUUCGUUGUGUAGCGGGGCAAUGCAUAGAUAUGACGAAGAACACCGAUUGCGUAGGCAGCUGACCAGACCGCAAAUGACGCUCAUGCACGAAAGUGCGGGGAUCGAACAGGAUUAGAUACCCUGGUAGUCCGCACAGUAAACGAUGAAUACUUGUUUUCGGCGAUAUAAUGUCGGAGGCAAAGCGAAAGCGAUAAGUAUUCCACCUGGGGAGUACGCCGGCAACGGUGAAACUCAAAGGAAUUGACGGGG
rnacentral:rRNA from 1 species